GGUUAAGUGACUAAGCGUACACGGUGGAUGCCUAGGCAGUCAGAGGCGAUGAAGGGCGUGCUAAUCUGCGAAAAGUGUCGGUAAGGUGAUAUGAACCGUUAUAACCGGCAAUACCCGAAUGGGGAAACCCAGUGUGUUUCGACACACUAUCGUAUGGUGAAUACAUAGCCAUACGAGGCGAACCGGGGGAACUGAAACAUCUAAGUACCCCGAGGAAAAGAAAUCAACCGAGAUUCCCCUAGUAGCGGCGAGCGAACGGGGAACAGCCCAGAACCUGAAUCAGUUCUUGUGUUAGUGGAAGCGUCUGGAAAGUCGCGCAGCAAAGGGUGAUAGCCCCGUACACUAAAAUGCAUUAA
rnacentral:rRNA from 1 species